ACAUGCCUACAACAUAGCGUUAAUGGACCAGAUCCCAUCAUAACUUCAUAGUAAUGUGUGCUUAGGCUAGAGUAGUACUAGGAUGGGUGACCGCCUAGGGAAUCCUAGUGUUUUACAUGCU
rfam:Picea glauca, whole genome shotgun sequence.